GAAAGGAAUGAAACCUAGGUCUAUCAUUUUUUUGAAUCCCAGUUAACUAAAUGGACGUGACUGGAGAAGCAGAGACACCUGAGCAGCUUUGAAGACUUUUCUCUGGCGUAUUCUCACUGACUCUGAAACCUUAUUUCCAACCACAGUGUCUGCUCAUCCUAGUGCAGCACUCUUCAAACCAACCUUCCGCAAAGGAUUCAGCAGACAUGGUCUGAGAAAAGAGCUAAACACAAGCUGGAUCUGCUCUUCUCUGCCUGCAGCCUUGGUGAGGCAUCAUAGGAAGAGGAACAUGAAUUCCUGGGAGACAACUAUUGAUGCAGAGGAAGGGGAAAGACAGGACUUGAUCAUCUAAGAAAGAGUGCAGGCUCCUAAGUAAAGCUGUGAGAUGACAA